rnacentral:rRNA from 1 species
UAAGGUGGCAAGCGUUGUCCGGAAUUAUUGUGCGUAAAGGGCGCGCAGGCGGCGUCGUAAGUCGGUCUUAAAAGUGCGGGGCUUAACCCCGUGAGGGGACCGAAACUGCGAUGCUAGAGUAUCGGAGAGGAAAGCGGAAUUCCUAGUGUAGCGGUGAAAUGCGUAGAUAUUAGGAGGAACACCAGUGGCGAAAGCGGCUUUCUGGACGACAACUGACGCUGAGGCGCGAAAGCCAGGGGAGCAAACGGGAUUAGAUACCCCGGUAGUCCUGGCCGUAAACGAUGGAUACUAGGUGUAGGAGGUAUCGACCCCUUCUGUGCCGGAGUUAACGCAAUAAGUAUCCCGCCUGGGGAGUACGGCCGCAAGGCUGAAACUCAAAGGAAUUGACGGGGGCCCGCACAAGCGGUGGAACAUGUGGUUUAAUUCGAUGAUACGCGAGGAACCUUACCCGGGCUUAAAUUGCAGUGGAAUGAUGUGGAAACAUGUCAGUGAGCAAUCACCGCUGUGAAGGUGCUGCAUGGUUGUCGUCAGCUCGUGCCGUGAGGUGUCGGCUUAAGUGCCAUAACGAGCGCAACCCUUAUCUUCAGUUACUAACAGGUCAUGCUGAGGACUCUGGAGAGACUGCCGUCGUAAGAUGUGAGGAAGGUGGGGAUGACGUCAAAUCAGCACGGCCCUUACGUCCGGGGCUACACACGUGUUACAAUGGGGGGUACAGAGGGCCGCUACCACGCGAGUGGAUGCCAAUCCCAAAAACCUCUCUCAGUUCGGACUGGAGUCUGCAACCCGACUCCACGAAGCUGGAUUCGCUAGUAAUCGCGCAUCAGCCACGGCGCGGUGAAUACGUUCCCGGGCCUUGCACUCACCGCCCGU